UACGUAGGGGGGCUAGCGUUGUCCGGAAUCAUUGGGCGUAAAGCGCGUGUAGGCGGACCGGUAAGUCCGCUGUGAAAGUCGGGGGCUCAACCCUCGGAUGCCGGUGGAUACUGUCGGGCUUGAGUACGGAAGAGGCGAGUGGAAUUCCUGGUGUAGCGGUGGAAUGCGCAGAUAUCAGGAGGAACACCCAUAGCGAAGGCAGCUUGCUGGGACGUUUACUGACGCUAAGGCGCGAAAGCGUGGGGGAGCAAACAGG
rnacentral:rRNA from 1 species